CCAUAUCUCCAUAUCUCCCUGCAGUUCUCGCCUGGUUUCCUACUAAGCAGGGUUGAGCCUGGCCAGUACCUGGAUGGGAGACCUCCUGGGGAAAACUGAGGUUGCUGAUGGA
rnacentral:rRNA from 1 species